rnacentral:rRNA from 1 species
GUCGAACGCUGGCGGCGUGCCUAAUACAUGCAAGUUGAGCGAUGAAGAUUGGUGCUUGCACCCAUUUGAAGAGCAGCGAACGGGUGAGUAACGCGUGGGGAAUCUGCCUUUGAGCGGGGGACAACAUUUGGAAACGAAUGCUAAUACCGCAUAACAACUUUAAACAUAAGUUUUAAGUUUGAAAGAUGCAAUUGCAUCACUCAAAGAUGAUCCCGCGUUGUAUUAGCUAGUUGGUGAGGUAAAGGCUCACCAAGGCGAUGAUACAUAGCCGACCUGAGAGGGUGAUCGGCCACAUUGGGACUGAGACACGGCCCAAACUCCUACGGGAGGCAGCAGUAGGGAAUCUUCGGCAAUGGACGAAAGUCUGACCGAGCAACGCCGCGUGAGUGAAGAAGGUUGUCGGAUCGUAAAACUCUGUUGGUAGAGAAGAACGUUGGUGAGAGUGGAAAGCUCAUCAAGUGACGGUAACUACCCAGAAAGGGACGGCUAACUACGUG